CCAUUGCUUGCUUCGGACACGAUCAGUGUAUACAAAUUAUUUUUUCCCUCAAUACUUGCAAUUACGUAAAAUAUCUUUACAGAAGCGGGACAAAGCGUUCUCCAACGCUGAUCAAUAACCAAAAGUAGACCUAGAAAGAUGCAUUUUUAAGCUUUCUACUCGUGAAAGAAGUCUACAAAGAAUCAAAGGUGAAAUGGAUCUGAGAACCAUUAGAAUAUUAGUCUUAGAGAAGUCUCUUUCAUUGCCAAAUUGACUUCUCCACCCUUCAAAAUGUCGUACACUCAACAAGAUGCAGCAACGGAGGCAUGAAAGGGCACUGUCAAAACAUUAAAAUCUGCUUGUUUUUGCUGCAUCUUCACUUGCAGCAAGGUAACAGAUUUAAAGUUAAAAAAACCUGCUAAACGUUAAAAAGAGACAGUCAUAGUAAAAUCUGUCUGUCAUAUUCAUAUGCACCAUGACAACUCAUGCUGCUAAUUUAUUCUUCUCUCACAGGAAGGCCAAGUUGAAGGAUCUGCAGUGUCAAGAGUUGCAGAAAAGAUUAGAAAGUUCAGUUUUACAUUCUAAUCCGUAGAAAAUCAUUAGAUGAAAUGGAAGACAGAAUUGGUCCAAAUGGCAUCAAGAGCGAUUGGUGAAGGGGCUGUGGGAAAGAUAGAGGUUUUUAAUGAUUUCUAAUUUGUUUCAGUAGACUUGACUCCAUGCACACACGUCUGCCAUGUCUCCUGACACUUUAUUCAUUAAAAAAUUGUCCAGGCACCUCGUGACCACUGGAUGAAGUCCACCAAGGUCAAUAACAUUGAAAGAGCUUAGUCCAUUACUGCAUGACUACCAGAGAUUGCUUACUUGCCUCCACAUAUGAGAAUAAACUCUUUGGCUUGUCUUUUUCUUUAUAUAAAAGUGAAUAUCAAGUUUCCAGGAUAAUUUUGUAAAGUGAUUCCACUCUUGAGGUUCAAAAGUUGAAUAAUCUCCAUGCUACUGUAGUUUGGAGAUGAUGUUGAUACUUCAAAUCUGACUUUGAAAGUCAAAAUGGAGAAGAAUGGAUCUCAUUUAUUUCAUCUUCUGUAGUAGGAGUUGAUAGCCUCAAAUCACAUGUUACAAUCAAUCUAUCUUCAGGAAAGGGAAAAAAAAAAAAAAAAAACAAAAACAAAGCACCUCUGAACUUAAUAUAUAUUUUUGGUUCUCCUUUCAAUAAUUAGAUAAAAUAAUAAUUUUCUUUGAAUAAAUAUUUGGUAGUUUUUGAUCGUUGCAGAGGAAAAGCUGAGGAAAAGCUGGAUCCAAUUUACAGUGUGUGAUUUCUGGUUUUUGUGGAAACGAAACUUUUCGAUUCCAUCAUGUUAGAAAUGCUUCACAGGUAGG
rnacentral:lncRNA from 1 species